GACGGAGGAUGCAAGUGUUAUCCGGAAUCACUGGGCGUAAAGCGUCUGUAGGUGGUUUAAUAAGUCAACUGUUAAAUCUUGAGGCUCAACCUCAAAAUCGCAGUCGAAACUAUUAGGCUAGAGUAUAGUAGGGGUAAAGGGAAUUUCCAGUGGAGCGGUGAAAUGCGUAGAGAUUGGAAAGAACACCGAUGGCGAAGGCACUCUACUGGGCCAUUACUGACACUGAGAGACGAAAGCUAGGGGAGCAAAUGGG
rnacentral:rRNA from 1 species